CGUAAGGGGCAAGCGUUAUCCGGAAUUACUGGGCGUAAAGAGUGCGUAGGUGGUUUUGUAAGCGCGGGGUGAAAGGCUAUGGCUCAACCAUAGUAAGCCUUGCGAACUGCAAGACUUGAGUGCAGGAGAGGAAAGUGGAAUUCCUAGUGUAGCGGUGAAAUGCGUAGAUAUUAGGAGGAACACCAGUGGCGAAGGCGACUUUCUGGACUGUAACUGACACUGAGGCACGAAAGCGUGGGGAGCAAACAGGAUUAGAUACCCUGGUAGUCCACGCCGUAAACGAUGAGCACUAGGUGUCGGGGUCGCAAGGCUUCGGUGCCGCAGUUAACGCAUUAAGUGCUCCGCCUGGGGAGUACGCACGCAAGUGUG
rnacentral:rRNA from 1 species